AUGGAUCAAAACCUUUCCAUAGUGUUUUGGAAUGUGCGAGGGCUCAAUAGCCGCGCCAAACGCACAGCCGUGCACUCCGUUGUCUCCUCGGCUGAUCCUUGUAUCGUGUGUUUGCCAGAAACUAAGCUGAAUUUCAUCUCGUCGUUGCUUGUCCUGGAGACGCAGGGCACCCCCUUUGCCGAUUUUUUCUUUCUUCCGGCCACGGGCACUCGUGGUGGUAUCCUACUAGCCUGGCGCAGCGACCACAUCUCCCUCGCCAACCCCAUCCUUGGGGCUUUCCAUGUGUCAGCCACCUUCUCCCCUGCCAUCGAUGCAGCCCCGUGGUGGAUCACCGGGGUCUACGGACCCCAAGGCAUGGCCGAGAAACUCGCCUUCAUGGCCGAGCUCCACGAUCUGCGCGACACGAUUGCCAGCCCUUGGCUCCUGGGCGGCGACUUCAAUAUGAUAACAUCAUGUGCGGACAAGAACAAUGGCAACCUCAACCCGCGCAACAUGAGCCGAUUUCAACGCUUUAUCGCGGAUCACGCCCUGAGGGACAUCUACCUCCAGGCAGGAGAUACACGUGGUCCAACGAGCAAAGCAACCCCACACUUGUCAGGAACGAUCACGUGCUUUGCACCCCAUCCUGGGUGA
rnacentral:rRNA from 1 species